AUAUAAUAUAAUAUAAUAAUAAUAUAAUAAUUAUAUAUUAUAUAUUUAUUAUAUAUAUUAUAUAUAUAUAAUAAUUAACCCUAAAACACUAUCACUAUAACACCAUCACUAACGCCGGGUGAUUUUUACCCAAUAUAAUAUACCCAACAAGAAGUACUUGGCAUCAAAAUAUAUCAAAAUAUGACAACACAUUAUCAAUUAGAGUGGCCAUCUUUUAUUUCCAACUGUGCCAUGUCAAACAAAAUGGAAAAAGAAGUGCCAUGGGGGACCCUAAAAAUUGCUCCAACAUUACUGAAAAAUUUUGAAUUUGAGAACAAAAAAUUCUUUAACAAAAAAAUAAUUAAUGGAAAAUUUUAAACUUCUCUGGUGAAGGCGCAGUCUCCUCGACAAGCGAACAGGUGCAGGAUAGAGAAACAAAAAAUUGUACUUUGUUGUAUUGGUGGGUAAAAACUAAGUGAAAUUCACCCAAAACCUGCUUUACCCUCUAUCACUAUUGCCAGGUGAAAAUCAUACAUGGCUGUAAAAAAAAAAAAAAAAAAAAAGAAAAGAAAGGAAAAGAACAAAAAAGAAAAGAAAAGAGAAAAAAGCAGGCUGUACCUUCAAAGACGUCAAAGACAAUGCUGAAGCUACCCAAGGACCCAUGACACUCAGACAAACGCAACAUAUUCAAAAUCAUUUAAAUAUAUUUGCUCAGGUGAAAAUCACCUGGUGUUGUUCUAGAGUUAAUUAAUAAUUAAUAAUAAAACCCUUUUUAAAAACAUAUAUUAAAUUAUAUAUCAUAAGAUAUAUAAUUUAAUAGAUAUUUAUAUACGUCCAGAGUAACAGCCGUAGACUGCAGUUUGCCGCCUGUCAGGUAGUCAGUAAUCCAGGGGAGCUGAACUCUGAGAGCAAACAGCCUGGUGACUGUAGCGUGCCGAGGGGCUCACGUGGAUCUGUGGCUGAAUCUGGAGCUGAGACUGGAGGUGUUCAACGAGGACUCCUACGAGGCAGCAGAGCUGAUGCGCUGAUCAUUAAUGGCCGAGGCUGCUCACACCAAAGUGAGUGGCAGGAUUCUCCAGUCCAGUGAGCACAGCUCCAUCAGCUGGUGGAGUUCAGUCAACACACCUGCUCUCAACAACCAGCAGUGUGCUCAAACAUCGGUUUCUCCUCCAUCCUGCACGAUGUUUUACACUCCAGAAGCAGUAAAUCAGGAUUACAUCACCUCUCUGUAGAAGGAAACUCUCCUAGUGUCCUUAAUUUGGAUUCUUGUGUCCUUCUCAGUUCCUUCCUGGUGUGUGUGCUGGACUGGAUCCUCUGGCUCUGUGCCAUCUUUUACUUAUAAUAAAAAUCAUUGAAACUUUU